rnacentral:rRNA from 1 species
UACGUAGGGUGCAAGCGUUAAUCGGAAUUACUGGGCGUAAAGCGUGCGCAGGCGGUGAUGUAAGACAGAUGUGAAAUCCCCGGGCUCAACCUGGGAACUGCAUUUGUGACUGCAUCGCUGGAGUACGGCAGAGGGGGGGUGGAAUUCCGCGUGUAGCAGUGAAAUGCGUAGAGAUGCGGAGGAACACCGAUGGCGAAGGCAGCCCCCCUGGGCCAACACUGACGCUCAGGCACGAAAGCGUGGGGGAGCAAACAGG